AAGAAGCAGAACUGAAAACACCAAUUCACAUUCUUCUCUGCUGAUCUCUCCACAAUCUUCGCUCUUUGGCAUUUUCUACUGACCCUGACUUCUAUGAUUUUGCAUUUCUGAACUGGAAUAACAUAUUGCCAAGUUCUCCAAAUCAAGCCACAGCCAGCAUUUUACUCCAUCUUCUAGAGAUCACAGAAGAGCCAAAAAUACUUAAUCAAGAAGUGAAGCAGAGAAAGAAAAACUAACCUCAUACUGUGCACCAUUAACCAUUUUUGAAUCUAAACAAACAGUUUGGACUUUUUGUUUAAUUAUCUUUGACUGUCCUUCUGGCUGAAAAAAGAGCAAUUAAUACUAGGAGAAAAGAUCUAGUGAUAGGAAGGCAAUUAUAAAGCUUUUGUAAACUGACAAAGAAGGUAACUCUUCAGACCAAAACAGCAGAGAUUUGUUCAUUUGUCUGCCUUGCCACUCAGCCUAAAAUGAAUCACGGAAAAGGCAACACCUCAGUACUAUGGCCAAACUAUUGGUCUGCCAGGAGGCAGACUGGAAGACUCCCUUUCUUAGUGUCCAGGGUUUUGAUUGCAGGGUGACAAUAAAACCCUAGCAGAUGUAUUGUUAACCCCCUCUGCCCCACUUCUCCCUUCAGCCCCUCCCUCUCCCCCCUUUCACUAAGGACAGGCGAUCAGGAGGGAAAAAAAGGACAGAGAGAAGAGAGUUGGAAAAAUUAAAAAUGUUUUACUAAUGCUACUAAUAAGAAUAGAGAAAACAAUACAAAAUAUAUGAAACCAAUCUUGAAAGUCUCAGUAACUGCAGAGCCGGCACCGGAAGUCCUGGACUGGAUUUUACAGCCAACCGGAGCUGGAUUCAGUCUCUCACUAGGCCUCAAUUCGCAAGGACGACUAGCAAGAUCCUCUCCUAAUGCUGGCCAUAAGCAAAAAGGGAAAGGGACAAGAUCCUCAUGAUUUCCCACUUUUAUAUGAAGUAUUCACAUGAAUGGAAUGUUAUACACAGUUGGUCAGUUUCUUAGUCACCUGUUUCUCAUUGCCCCUCUCGUAAGAGCUGUCCAUUCGUUAUCAAUAACUUCACAUUCCAUUGCUAUGUUUACCAAGACAUGUAUCGGUUCUCCAGGAAAAUGCAGCUAAUAUGAAAGCUUUAGCUGACAGGCAAAUUCACUAAAAGAGAAACUUGUUUUUUUAACAAAACCAGGACAACAAGAAAUACUCUUCUGAACCAAGAGAUCAUCAGGAGGGAAAUUACACACAAAGCUGGGUAUACUACAGCACAAUCGUUACAUUUCUGUUGUAAAUUAAUGAGAGAAGUAAACUGACAACCCACUUGAGUUUCACCAAAGUGUAACACCAGAAAAUACCUAUAGGGGAUGAAAAGGAAAAAAAAAAAAAAAUCACAAACAACAAACCUAGAUGUCUUCAGCAGUUUAAACAUGCAUUUGAUAAACCAGGAAUAUUAGGGCUCUCCACCUCUUUCUCUCCAUCACUGCCUAAGUCACCUUUUGGCAAACGACUUUAACAUUCACUUUUCACCUGAUAGAUCUUCUUGCUUGUACAAGGCAUAACUUGUUUUCUUUGCUAAGAUUUCAUUUCCUCCCAUCUCAGAACUUGAUGAAAUCUAUUUCUUAGUUCCUCAUCUCCCAGUGAAAGCUGACAACAAGUAUCAGACAAAAUGUAGCUGUCCCGUAUGAAGUAAUUCAUUUCUGUCAAAGAUUAGACUUUUUUUUCUCUUAACACAAGAUGACUGAUAUUGUUCUGCAAGAUCCAAAAGGAACAAUUUAACCACUUAAGUACUGAGAACUCGAGGAUCAGGUUUUCUCCUUAAAGCACGUAAUCCACUGGGUGAAAGCAGGUAACUGAGAUGGAAGCCUCUGGAAUGCCUAUUAAUUUCCUUUCAUUUGAUUUGAGGCUUUAACUCACGAUUAAUCAUCCUAACCAAGUAUUUUUUGCCAUAUAACAUUCAGAAAAAUAGUAAUAUUAAAAAAUUACACAUUUGACAAAUCCAACCAGAUGAAACUUAUUUGCUACUCUAUACAGCGCGGACUAAAUUUCUCAGGCAUGAAUCUGUUUUAUUUCCUCUUGUUAAGCUCACUUUAUAUUUGCAGUUAGUCAUAACCAUUUCUUAUUUAAUUGAAACUCAUUUCUCAUGCAACUUUGCAUUUCUCUUAACAACGUUAAAUUCACCCAGGCAAAGACAAAACAUGUGAGUGCAACGUGCAGCCCCCCAACAAUGAAAGGGGAGGAGCAGGGGAAGAAAGAAACGGGCACUUCUCAGGUAUCAACUAGCUCACCCAAAAGCACACAUCUGGAGAGGGACAAGGUGGCGACCUGCGCCACGCACCCCAAAAAGACCGAGAGACCCGCGAGCUGGCCGGCGCAGCUGCGAGCGCCCCCCGCCGCAUCCUCCACCUUCCAGAAAGCUCCAACCCCUCCGCCCCAGAGAAGCCGAGGCAGCACCGCCGGGCCGCCCCGCCGCUCACCUGCGCCCGAACUUCGGGGCCGGUCCCUUCACGUUCGACUGAAAACACAGGAGAAACUUGCGGGGGCGUGGGGUCCACGGGUGUUCUUGGGGCGGGGGGGGGGCGGGGGGCUGCGGCCACCCCUUAUCUCACCUCAGGGCCGCGGCGGGAGCGGGGAGGGACCCGCGCAUGGGCGGCUCGUGAGCGCGGCCGGACCGCGCGCAGGUAACGCACCCGCUCCACAGAGCCCUCAUCAUCAAGGACACCUGAGCUCGGAGGAAUGGCUUCAAUAGUUCGCUGAUUCUACGAGGAAUAAGGAAAAAUAGACAUACCCUCCCCCAACAAACAAACAAAAAACCAAACAAAAACAACAACAACAAAUGCCAAACCAACCAAGCACACACACAAAAAAAAACAAAACAAAACACAAACAUACAGAACCCAACAAACCUAACUUGCAAAUAAAUGAAUAAAAUAAUUUAAAAAAAAUUCUUCUAAAUGGCUAAACUCCCUCAGAACUCUGUUAAAGGGAAGGGCUGGUGAUUAAAUUUGCUGAGCAGGCCACAAGACCAAGCAUACCAUAGUAUUUAGUUAAUAACACUUAAUUGAAUUGUAUUUUACAAAUGGACGCUGGGAAUAACAAACUAGAUGUGAAGCAAAGCUGAGCUUGAAGUUUUCACAAUUAUGUAGAUGAAAUACAGAACAAAAGAUUUUGGUGCUGGCAUCUGAUGUUUUCCUCAAGAAACAGAACUUGGUGCCAAAAAUUCUUGAGAAUCAGCUUUUGAAAGGUUAAUUAGGUUCUCCAUAAGCAUUUCAAUUACAGGAACAAGACAUUAUCCCAUUUAAUAUGUAUCCCAACACUUCCUAUUUGUUUCAGAUUUUCUCUGCCACAAGUUUUUUCUAUUGAAGAUAAGUGUUAUUAUUCUUAACUUCCUCUGACAACUUCAUGUUUACAACAAACAUCACCCCUGGAGGCAAAGGGCUGGUCUAAUCAAGAUCUGUAGUUAAAGUUGUUUACUUCUUCCAUCAGCAACAGGAAACCUGCUCUAUUCAGGGCAGCACAGCAGCCCAGAACUGAACUAUGUGCUGUGUUUCUCACACUGAUCCUUACAUCUGAAUUCUGCAAGAUGAAGCUGUACUUGAAGACCCAAGAUACCCUCUGAGUAGACAUGAAUUAUACACAGAGCUGCCCAACCUUGUUAACUGCACAGGAUUAGUCAUGCAGAAAUUCUGGUAUGUGGUGCACCCUCUGGAUUUCAUUCUAGUUUCGAAUUAGAGGGAAUUAGAUGUAGUUAUACAGGCGUUUGUGAGAUCAGAAAUCUUUAAUGUUUUUUUUAAAAAACAGUUUUCCCAAAAAUGUAGGUUUAUCAAGAGCAGAAUAUUUUCAAGAAUAUUCCAAUUUUUCCUCACUCUGAAUUAGCAAGUAUAAGUAACAAUGCUUCAACAAGAUAAAAAGCGGUUAGUUUGAAUUUAAUUACUUCAAUUUCAAUUUAAAGUUUAUAGCAGAAAAUAAGAGUAGUUAGGGUGGUUUUAAUAAGUUCUAUUUCAAGUCAAAUAAACAAUUCUGAAACAUUAAAAAAAUCGGUCACAGAUGAGUAAAAGGAAAUGGAAGUAGUUGUGAGAAUAAACUGUGCACCACUCUUUCCAGCAAAAAUACCAUGUCAUUGAACAGGCUGUGCUUGGGUUUGGGGAUUGGUGGUGGUUUGGUUUGGUUGGUUGUUGUUUGUUGGUUUGUUUGUUUUUUGUUUGUUUGUUUGUUUUUUUUUUUUUCAUAUCCAUAAGAUUAAUUUUUUACUCCUGAACUUAAUAAGAGCAGAAAUCCACCCAAUGUCUAUAAUUCCUAUGGACUAUUGUUUGUGAGGGAAGAUAAACUGAUGCAUAAAAAUGUUCACACAA